rnacentral:rRNA from 1 species
AGCGAACGCUGGCGGCAGGCCUAACACAUGCAAGUCGAACGAACUCUUCGGAGUUAGUGGCGGACGGGUGAGUAACACGUGGGAACGUGCCUUUUGGUUCGGAAUAACUCAGGGAAACUUGUGCUAAUAACGAAUGUGCCCUUCGGGGGAAAGAUUUAUCGCCAUUAGAGCGGCCCGCGUCUGAUUAGCUAGUUGGUGAGGUAACGGCUCACCAAGGCGACGAUCAGUAGCUGGUCUGAGAGGAUGACCAGCCACACUGGGACUGAGACACGGCCCAGACUCCUACGGGAGGCAGCAGUGGGGAAUCUUGCGCAAUGGGCGAAAGCCUGACGCAGCCAUGCCGCGUGAAUGAUGAAGGUCUUAGGAUUGUAAAAUUCUUUCACCGGGGACGAUAAUGACGGUACCCGGAGAAGAAGCCCCGGCUAACUUCGUG